AGAUCGGGAUAACACCUGGAAACAGAUGCUAAUACCGGAUAACAACAGAUGAUGCCUAUCAACUGCUUAAAAGAUGGUUCUGCUAUCACUCUUGGAUGGACCUGCGGUGCAUUAGCUAGUUGGUAGGGUAACGGCCUACCAAGGCGAUGAUGCAUAGCCGAGUUGAGAGACUGAUCGGCCACAUUGGGACUGAGACACGGCCCAAACUCCUACGGGAGGCAGCAGGC
rnacentral:rRNA from 1 species